rnacentral:lncRNA from 1 species
GCGUCAUAGUUUGUGUUGUACAAACUCUUUCAACCACUGAAAGCUGAUCUUGAAGACAAAACCAAGCUCCUCCGCUACUCAGAAAUCUAAAGAACCCUGGGUCUUCUAUGGGAACCUAAACUACUGUGGCUCAGAAUUAGCUGCAAAUGUGUCCUGAGGUCUUUUGUUCUGGCCAUAGUGAUGAACAUUCCUAAAAAAAUGAUAAGUAGUGUGUCUGUUUAUAUUGAAUUCCCAGAGCAACACAGUACUGACACAUAGUAGUUCCUCAACAAAUGUGUUCCCUGAUGGAAAUGUAGACAAAGAAUACAGAAGAUAAGUUCUCAAGGGGAAAAGCAUCUUGUCGUGUCAGCUGACAC